GGAUAACGAAUCGAAAGCUUUGCUAAUACCGCAUAAGAUCUACGGAUGAAAGCAGGGGACCGCACGGCCUUGCGCGAACGGAGCGGCCGAUGGCAGAUUAGGUAGUUGGUGGGAUAAAAGCUUACCAAGCCGACGAUCUGUAGCUGGUCUGAGAGGAUGACCAGCCACACUGGGACUGAGACACGGCCCAGACUCCUACGGGAGGCAGCAGUGGGGAAUUUUGGACAAUGGGCGAAAGCCUGAUCCAGCCAUGCCGCGUGCAGGAUGAAGGCCUUCGGGUUGUAAACUGCUUUUGUACGGAACGAAAAGACUCUGGUUAAUACCUGGGGUCCAUGACGGUACCGUAAGAAUAAGCACCGGCUAACUACGUGCCAGCAGCCGCGGUAAUACGUAGGGUGCAAGCGUUAAUCUGAAUUACUGGGCGUAAAGCGUGCGCAGGCGGUGAUGUAAGACAGAUGUGAAAUCCCCGGGCUCAACCUGGGAACUGCAUUUGUGACUGCAUCGCUGGAUUACGGCAGAGGGGGGAUGGAAUUC
rnacentral:rRNA from 1 species